rnacentral:rRNA from 1 species
UUGAACGCUGGCGGCAGGCCUAACACAUGCAAGUCGAGCGGUAGCACAGAGAGCUUGCUCUCGGGUGACGAGCGGCGGACGGGUGAGUAAUGUCUGGGAAACUGCCUGAUGGAGGGGGAUAACUACUGGAAACGGUAGCUAAUACCGCAUAACGUCGCAAGACCAAAGUGGGGGACCUUCGGGCCUCAUGCCAUCAGAUGUGCCCAGAUGGGAUUAGCUAGUAGGUGGGGUAACGGCUCACCUAGGCGACGAUCCCUAGCUGGUCUGAGAGGAUGACCAGCCACACUGGAACUGAGACACGGUCCAGACUCCUACGGGAGGCAGCAGUGGGGAAUAUUGCACAAUGGGCGCAAGCCUGAUGCAGCCAUGCCGCGUGUGUGAAGAAGGCCUUCGGGUUGUAAAGCACUUUCAGCGGGGAGGAAGGCGAUAAGGUUAAUAACCUUGUCGAUUGACGUUACCCGCAGAAGAAGCACCGGCUAACUCCGUGCCAGCAGCCGCGGUAAUACGGAGGGUGCAAGCGUUAAUCGGAAUUACUGGGCGUAAAGCGCACGCAGGCGGUCUGUCAAGUCGGAUGUGAAAUCCCCGGGCUCAACCUGGGAACUGCAUUCGAAACUGGCAGGCUAGAGUCUUGUAGAGGGGGGUAGAAUUCCAGGUGUAGCGGUGAAAUGCGUAGAGAUCUGGAGGAAUACCGGUGGCGAAGGCGGCCCCCUGGACAAAGACUGACGCUCAGGUGCGAAAGCGUGGGGAGCAAACAGGAUUAGAUACCCUGGUAGUCCACGCCGUAAACGAUGUCGAUUUGGAGGUUGUGCCCUUGAGGCGUGGCUUCCGGAGCUAACGCGUUAAAUCGACCGCCUGGGGAGUACGGCCGCAAGGUUAAAACUCAAAUGAAUUGACGGGGGCCCGCACAAGCGGUGGAGCAUGUGGUUUAAUUCGAUGCAACGCGAAGAACCUUACCUGGUCUUGACAUCCACAGAACUUUCCAGAGAUGGAUUGGUGCCUUCGGGAACUGUGAGACAGGUGCUGCAUGGCUGUCGUCAGCUCGUGUUGUGAAAUGUUGGGUUAAGUCCCGCAACGAGCGCAACCCUUAUCCUUUGUUGCCAGCGGUUAGGCCGGGAACUCAAAGGAGACUGCCAGUGAUAAACUGGAGGAAGGUGGGGAUGACGUCAAGUCAUCAUGGCCCUUACGGCCAGGGCUACACACGUGCUACAAUGGCAUAUACAAAGAGAAGCGACCUCGCGAGAGCAAGCGGACCUCAUAAAGUAUGUCGUAGUCCGGAUUGGAGUCUGCAACUCGACUCCAUGAAGUCGGAAUCGCUAGUAAUCGUAGAUCAGAAUGCUACGGUGAAUACGUUCCCGGGCCUUGUACACACCGCCCGUCACACCAUGGGAGUGGGUUGCAAAAGAAGUAGGUAGCUUAACCUUCGGGAGGGCGCUUACCACUUUGUGAUUCAUGACUGGGGUG